AGAGUUUGAUCAUGGCUCAGAACGAACGUUGGCGGCGUGGAUGAGGCAUGCAAGUCGGGGGAAUCCCAGCAAUGGGGGAACCGGCGUAAGGGGCAGUAAGGCGUGGGUACCUACCCCGGGGUCCGGGAUAGCCGUCCGAGAGGGCGGGUAAUACCGGAUGACCUCGGGAGAGCAAAGAUUUAUCGCCCUGGGAGGGGCCCACGUGAUAUUACCUAGUUGGCGGGGUAACGGCCCACCAAGGGGAAGAUGUCUAGCGGGUGUGAGAGCACGACCCGCGCCACUGGCACUGAGACACUGGCCAGACACCUACGGGUGGCUGCAGUCGAGGAUCUUCGGCAAUGGGCGCAAGCCUGACCGAGCGACGCCGCGUGGGCGAUGAAGGCCUUCGGGUUGUAAAGCCCUGUCGGGGGGGAGAAAAGGGUAAAACUUUGAUCUAUCCCCGGAGGAAGCACGGGCUAAGUUCGUGCCAGCAGCCGCGGUAAUUC
rnacentral:rRNA from 1 species